AACCAUCCAUCUUCGAUCAUCAGAAUCACUUUCAUACUUCUGUCAUUCUCUUUGCAUUGAAAUGUUCCUUUUCCCUUUCUUCUUGUCUUCCAUUAGGAGCUGAGAGUGAAAUCUCUCUCUCUCUCUCUCAUAUGAAGGUGGAGUCACGGUGUUUGUUUGCAUUGAUUUGAAAUUCUUGGAGGACGAGGAGGACUCGAGACCUAGAGAGGUACUGCUGGUUUGUUCCUAACGAACACUCUGACAUAUAUUUGGUGUCAAUCAGACACUCUAAAGUCUAAACAGUCCUGGAUUCAUUUAAUUAACCUUCUAAUCCUUCUGGGAGCAAUUGGUAUGAUGCCACCUGCGUCGGCUAUGAACUACAGUUCAUGGAUUUUUGUUGGGAUGAUUUUCAAUUUCUUUGCAUUCCGGAACUAGAAGAAAUGGUGUUAAUAAAGUCUUUUGUUGUAUAAAAAUAACAACAUACUCACACCCUCAAUGUUAGAGGAGGGGGUGGGGGCGUAAAUCGCUCAAACUCUUAGACCCACAUGAAAUUUUGGCAAACUACAA